rnacentral:lncRNA from 1 species
GUUGCUCUCGCAGUUUGGACUGAGACAUGGAAUGGGGCCGCAAUUAACAACAGGAAACAAUCUGAACAGACUGAACCACGAGCAGCAGAAAGGCAGAAGAGCAGCCGCUUCAGCCCCUUACCAUCCGAGACCUGGGUGUGUGGUCUGUCUUGGUCACUCUCUCUGUCUCUCUUUCUCUCUUUCUUUCUCUGUCCCCAAGGCUGGAGUGCAGUGGUGCAAUCUUGGCUCACUGCAACCUCCACCUCUGGGAUUCAAGCAAUUCUCCCACCUCAGCCUCUCGAGUAGCUGGGGCUACAGCUAUGCGCCACCAUGCCCAGCUAAUUUUUUUUUUUUUUUUUGAGAUGGAGUCUUGCUCUGUCCCCCAUGCUGGAGUGCAGUGGCAUGAUCUCGGCUCGCUGCAACCUCCUCCUCCUGGGUUCAAGCGAUUCUCCUACCUCAGCCUCCCCAGUAGCUGGGAUUACAGGCGCCCACCACCACACCUGGCUAA